GCAUACUUAAUGAGUAGCGAUUCCUUACUUGUUAAAGAGUUUUUACAUUUAAGUAUGAUGUUGUGUUUGCAUAUUAAGUAACUUGUUGUUACUUAUUUACUUCCUGUAUAUUUUUAACCUGAAUUUAGGUUUUCAAAUAUAAGCCGCUCAAGAUAUUGGGCGGCAUUUUUUA
rnacentral:other from 1 species